rnacentral:rRNA from 1 species
CCUACGGGAGGCAGCAGUGGGGAAUUUUGGACAAUGGGGGCAACCCUGAUCCAGCCAUUCCGCGUGAGUGAAGAAGGCCUUCGGGUUGUAAAGCUCUUUCAGCAGGAAAGAAACGGUACGCUCUAACAUAGCUUGCUAAUGACGGUACCAGCAGAAGAAGCACCGGCUAACUACGUGCCAGCAGGCGCGGUAAU